rnacentral:rRNA from 1 species
GAUGAACGCUGGCGGCGUGCCUAAUACAUGCAAGUCGAGCGAACAGACGAGGAGCUUGCUCCUCUGACGUUAGCGGCGGACGGGUGAGUAACACGUGGAUAACCUACCUAUAAGACUGGGAUAACUUCGGGAAACCGGAGCUAAUACCGGAUAAUAUAUUGAACCGCAUGGUUCAAUAGUGAAAGACGGUUUUGCUGUCACUUAUAGAUGGAUCCGCGCCGCAUUAGCUAGUUGGUAAGGUAACGGCUUACCAAGGCGACGAUGCGUAGCCGACCUGAGAGGGUGAUCGGCCACACUGGAACUGAGACACGGUCCAGACUCCUACGGGAGGCAGCAGUAGGGAAUCUUCCGCAAUGGGCGAAAGCCUGACGGAGCAACGCCGCGUGAGUGAUGAAGGUCUUCGGAUCGUAAAACUCUGUUAUUAGGGAAGAACAAAUGUGUAAGUAACUAUGCACGUCUUGACGGUACCUAUUCAGAAAGCCACGGCUAACUACGUG